rnacentral:rRNA from 1 species
GAUCAUGGCUCAGGAUGAACGCUAGCUACAGGCUUAACACAUGCAAGUCGAGGGGAAACGACAUCGAAAGCUUGCUUUUGAUGGGCGUCGACCGGCGCACGGGUGAGUAACGCGUAUCCAACCUGCCUACCACUUGGGGAUAACCUUGCGAAAGUAAGACUAAUACCCAAUGACAUCCCACGAAGACAUCUGAAUGGGAUUAAAGAUUUACCGGUGAUGGAUGGGGAUGCGUCUGAUUAG